GGCAAAGCCGGAUCCUUAACCCACUGAGCAAGGCCAGGGAUGGAACCCACAACCUCAUGGCUCCUAGUUCCUAACCACUGAGCCACGAUGGGAACUCUGAAUCUUGCUUCUUCUUAUCAAGUGAGAAGUCUCAAUGCAUUUUCAUACGUCUAUAGAAUAUUCUGUGUUAUACAGGAGAAGCCUAUUCUAAGGGAAACCUGGAAGAGAAAUCCAAUAGGGUCUCAUGAACCCCCUAGGCUCAUGUUACUCUAACAGGAAGUCACAUUAGAAAUGAAUCUCAGUGUAAUAUAGCUAACAAAAAAGUGCUUGUGAAAGCGUGUUAACUUACUCAGAAUCACAGGCCAAACAGUCUCCUUGGAGAGCUCUGAUUUUACCGGGCCCCUGGCUUGGGGGUGCCUUCCUUCACCAUCGUGGGACACCUGGCUUCCGACUUUGCCCUUUCGCUCCCCCAGGCGGUGGAGGCGAUGGGCCAGAAAGGCCAGAGCCAGGCUGGGUUGAUCCUCUGACCUGGCUGUGCUUCCAAGGGCCUCCUGGUGGGUCAGGGAUCUGGCGGGGGGCUGCUGGACGCAGAGGUGGGGAGGCUUCUCUCAUGCCCCCCGCCCUAGGACUUCUGCGGAGGGAUGGCCUACUGUGCACCUCAGGUCAGAGAGGGGCUGGUGCCCCAAGGCGGCCUGGAGACCCCUCAGCCCUAGGGCCAGGCAGGAGUCGGGGUGGGGAGCAACUCCGAGGGGGCCUCCCUGGAGCCCUAUGCCACCCCCGUUGGCACUGCACAGCUGGACAAGGAGAAACUAGAGCCGAAUCCUGAGAAGUCCCAGGACAUCAAAACGCUUCAGAAAGACCUUGAACAAUUUGCCAAGCUUCUAAAGCAGAAGAGGAUCACCCUGGGAUACACCCAGGCCGAUGUGGGGCUCACCCUGUUCUCUUUGGGAAGGUGUUCAGCCAAAUGACCAUCUGCAGUUUUGAGGCUUUGAAGCUCAGUUUCAGGAACACAUGUAAGCUGCAGCCCCUGCUGCUGAAGUGGGUAGAGGAAGCUGCCAACAAUGAGAAUCUGCAGGAGAUGUGCAAGGCAGAGACCCUCAUGCAGCCCCGAAGAGAAAGCGCACGAGUAUCGAGAACCGAAUGAGAGGCAACCCGGAGAGCAUGUUCUUGCAGUACCUGCAGCCCACCCUGCAGUAGAUCAGCCGCAUCGCCCAGCACCUCAGGCUAGAGAAGGAUGUGGUCCGAGUGUAGUUCUGUAGCCGUCGCCAGAAGGGCAAACGAUGAUCAAGCAGUGACUUUCUCAAGGGGAGGAUUUUUGAGGCUGUUGCAUCUCCUUUCCCAGGGGAACCAGUAUCCUUUCCUCUCCUCUGGUGCCUGGGCCCCAUUAUGGUAUAUGGGGGCCCUCACUUCACCACGCUGCACUCCUCCGUCCCUUUCCCUGAGGGCGAGGCCUUUCCCUCGGAGUCUGUCAUCACUCUGGGCUCUCAUGCAUUCAAACAGAGGUGCCUGCCCUUCCCAGGAGUUGAGGGGUGAGGAAGGGGUGAGCCAGGGAGAGAAACCUGGGGUUUGUAUCAGGGCUUUGGAAUUAAGAUCUUCAUUCACUAAGAAAGGAAUUGGGAACACAAAGGGUUUGGAGGGACAGGGAGUGUAGGAGAACUGGAUGGAGGGAAAGUGAAGUUCAGUGAUGGUCUUGAUUUUAAUCCCCACAUCACUCAUCACUUUGUUCUUAAAUAAAGCCUGGGACUCAGCGAAAACAGCAAACAAACAAACAAACAAAAAAGAAUCACAAUUAGAACAUAUUAGACACAGGGCUAAAACCACUUCUGUGGACACGACCAGAACUUUUCCUCUUGACCAGCCUGACUCCCAGGAGUCUUUCCUUGAAUUGUCAGUGUGCACAUUUUCUACAGUGGCUUUAGUAUAGUUAACUGAACAGCUUAAUUUUCAACUAAAGUCAACUUCUAGUGUUAUUUCUUUUAUGAUGUUCUUAUACAUAUUUUGCUAGAGUUGGAAAACUAUUUAAGCAAAUAUGUUUCAUUUAGAUAGGUCAGAACUAGGAAAUUUAAGAUUAAUCUCUGUUGCUGCAGAAAGAGAGAGUCCUCAAUUUGGGAUCAAUUAAUAUGAUUGUAAUAAAUGAGAAAGAUUUGCAUUGCUGUUUUGAUGAGCAGAUGGCCUGCCGCUUUAGUGAGCAGGAUGGGCUACUGGGGUUAAGGUUGCCUAGAGCACUACCAGGAGGAGAAAGGCUGAUGGAAGAAUUAAAAUUGGCUUAGGGUAGGUGGGGGAGUUCUAAUGGAGAGGAUUGAAAAUAAAAUGUAGAAUAUGCUAUUAUUUAAUAAUAGCAAUUAUUUAAAUAAUAGCAAUUAUUUAAUAAUAGCAGUCAUUUUAUGAAGACUUUUAGUUCCUUAUCUCCUCCUUCCACCCCAACGGCUAUCUAUGCCAGGAAAGAUGUGAGAGUGGAGGUGGUGGGAGGAUGUUUUUCUUUCCCUUUGGAAGUGGCCUCAACAGCACACAGAAAAGCUUAGAGUAGCGGUGGGAGAAAAAGCAAUGAAAUUUCUUUGGCAAAUCAAUACACAUUUUCUUCUUCCUUUGAGGUCUUUAUCCUUCAUUUUAGACCAUGUUGUAUGCAUUCCACUGGUCUCAACACUUCUGCAGUAAUGCUAAAGAAGUAGAUUGUGGGAGUUCCCAUCGUGGCUUAGCAGAAACAAAUCUGACUAGUAUCCAUGAGGACGCAGAUUCAAUCCCUGGCCUCACUCAGUCCGCUAAGGAUCUGGCAUUGCUGUGAGCUCUGGUGUUAGGUCGCAGAUGCGGCUCUGAUCCUGCAUUGCUGGGGCUAUGGCUAGGCCAGCAGCUGUAGCUCUGAUUCGACCCCUAUUCUGGGAACUUCCAUAUGCCGCGGGUGUGGCCCUAAAAAGACAAAAAAAAAAAAAAAAAAAAAAAAAAGUAGAUUGCUUACUUUGUUCUUUUAAUUAAAAUAUAGCUGAUUUACAAUGUUUCUUCAGUUUCUAUUAUACAGCAAAGUGACCCAAUCACACACAGUUCCUUGUGCUAUACAGUAAAUCCCCAUUUCCCAUCUACUCUAAAUAUGACAGUUUGUAUCCAAAAUCCCUGAACUCCCUGUCUAUCCCACUCCCUCCCACCUCCCCACUAGAUUGCAUUCUAAAUAAAGACAUAUGAGAUAUAUACAAAUAGCAAUUUGAAUUGAGUCACAUGGCAGAUGUCGGAGGAUUAGAAAAGUUGCAAGGGCUGCUGAUGCCUUGAAUUUCUCAGGAAAGCAUGCCUAUAUUUUUAUAGUUAAAAUAAGUUUACUUGAGAAGAAACCUGGAUAGCCAAAAAUUAGAAUAUUAGCUUUGGCUUCAUCUCUAAUAUCUUCCUCAUAUUUAUGAUUUUUCUGUAAAAUAAUAAUAUGUAGAUGUUAUAUAUAACUGAAUCUUAAAGAUACAUUUACUUUUAUGUGCAUUGUACAAAAAGCAUGUGAAUAUGUUUUUCUCUUGAUUGAAACAAUCACGGUUCAUUUCUCUAUAAUCAUAUACUCUGUUGCAUCACUUUAUGAUGGAGAGAAGUCAACACUUCAGAGAACAGGCCAACAUAUAGCAGAUAUAACUGCAAAAAAUAUUUUUGAGAGGAAGGUCUCAUUGAAAAUGCAAUUUGGGAAGCUUCUGGUAGGGUCACUGGAGAAUACAGUCAAACUGAUAUGUUUAAACUGUUCAAAUAUACUUAGAGAAAAUAGUUCCAGGUUCAAUCUGGAAGAGAUUGAGAGGUGAAGCAGAAACAAAGCAGGGGAAUAGAUAUCAGUAACAUUUAUGGGAUGAGUAUCUGAAUAACUUUACUCACUAAGAUUCAAAAAAGACAAAUCAAUCAUCAUGAUCAAUGAAGAAAUCCGAUACUGCAAAUCUGGAUUGUGGGUUUAAUAGAAGAACCAAUAUUUUGCUGUAGGAAAGAAACAGUGUCUUGCUGGGUAAUAUCUUGUGGUCACUGUAGCCCUGGCCCUCAGGAAAAUACUUGGCCUAAUAUACAGUCUUGUAAGUGAAACAAGAGUUUAGUGAAUAAAUGAAAACGAUUGGGGGACCGUUCAAAGGUUUUGAACAGGAAAAUUCAAUGACUGGGAUAACAUUUUAGAAAGGUCACUCUGGCUCAAUAGGGAUAAUAGAUGUGCUCUGGGAGUGAUUGUAAACAGCCAGGUUAUUGCAGAAACAUAGAUGAGAACUGCAGGGGGAAUGAUUAGGAUUGUUUAAAUGAGAAUAAAGAGAAGAAGAUAGAUGUGAGAGGUGUUUGAAUGGAUGAAUCACCAUACCUUGGCUAGUGGAAGUAUAUAGUGUGAGAGUGAGGGAGGGGCUGGGAUGGAGUGCUCCAGGUUUCUGACUUGCACAAAAGGAUGAUAGGUGGAGCCAACAACUAAACCAGGAAACCUAAAAAGAAGAUUAACUUGGGGGAUGGGCAAUGGCAUGAUAAUGAGUUCAGUUGUAAUGGGUUAAAUUUGAUAUCUCUGGACUAUCCAAGUAAAGAUGAUCUCAAAAAAGAGACCUGACCUAGCAACGUUGCGAUAUGGGUUUUACCAGCCUAGAUUUGGCUAUUAAAACCAUGGAAGGCAAUAAAAUUGCCCAAAGGAAAUAUACAUAGGAAGGAAAUAAAGGGAAAGUCUGAAGAAAGUCUACACUAAAGGAGAAUACAAAAAAAAAAAAAAAAAAAGAAAAGGAGCUCACACA